rnacentral:rRNA from 1 species
ACGGGGCGCAGCAGGCGCGAAACCUCUGCAAUGGGCGAAAGCCUGACAGGGUUACUCUGAGUGAUUUCCGCUAAGGAGAUCUUUUGGCAGCUCUAAAAAUGGUGCAGAAUAAGGGGUGGGCAAGUCUGGUGUCAGCCGCCGCGGUAAUACCAGCACCCCGAGUGGUCGGGACGAUUAUUGGGCCUAAAGCAUCCGUAGCCGGUUGUGCAAGUCCUCCGUCAAAUCCAGCCGCUCAACGGAUGGGCUGCGGAGGAUACUACAGGACUAGGAGGCGGGAGAGGCAAGCGGUACUUAGUGGGUAGGGGUAAAAUCCUUUGAUCCAUUGAAGACCACCAGUGGCGAAGGCGGCUUGCCAGAACGCGCUCGACGGUGGGGGAUGAAAGCUGGGGGAGCAAACCGGAUUAGAUACCCGGGUAGUCCCAGCUGUAAACGAUGCAGACUCGGUGAUGGGCUAGCCUCGUGUCAGCCCAGUGCCGCAGGGAAGCCGUUAAGUCUGCCGCCUGGGGAGUACGGUCGCAAGACUGAAACUUAAAGGAAUUGGCGGG